GGACAACACUCACACCAAGGUGCGAGUCAAGGGGCAAUAGUCUUUUUUUUGGGGCAACAAAGGGAAAAGAUAUACUGAAUGAUUGACGCUGCUCUCGUUGAGUUCGUUAGGUUUCUGUCCUGUUUGUAAAUAUUUCUGGCUUCUCCACAGGAUCCAAUUGCGCCUUCAUGUAGUGGGCCUGGGCUCCGGUCUUCCCAACGAUGUCGUUUCAAGCCCUUUCCAAUUUCCAUGUCCAAUGAGCACGCCCUUUGGCCGAGGACGAAUUAACCACCGCAACACCCGCUUAACCAUCACAUCCGUACUGUUAACCGCCACCACCACAACGGGUGAUGGCUACGCGGUCUUCACCUCUCCGCCACCUCUUGACCUUUGACGCCAAGUUCUCUCACUUUCUUCAUUCUCUAUUCAACUCAUACCUGCCCGCUUCGCUUCACCUCGUCCUUGAAUUAUCGGCCGACUUCCGCUUUUCCUUUCCCAUUACACUCGCCCUUUGCCUUUCCCCUCUCUCCCCCUCUCUCCUUCCUUUCCUUUCCCCUCUCCUCUUCGGUCUCCUCCUCGACCUCGCCUUCGUCGGCCUAAUUAAGAUCAUUUUCCGCCGUCCUCGCCCUCCCUACAAUCCUCACAUGUCCGCCGCCGUUUCCGCUGACAAUUACUCCUUCCCCAGCGGCCACGCUUCUCGCGUUUUCCUCGUCGCCGCCUUGGUUUCGCUAUCUGCGAACACAAUUGAAGCGGCUCUGGCGGAGUUGAGGGCGAGUGGCGGAUUUGUUCACCAGUGGAUUGCGGGGGACGACACCAAACUGGUAGGGAUUGUGGUGGUGGCCGUUCGUGUGUGGGCGGCAAUGACGGCCUUGUCUAGGGUUUUGCUUGGUAGGCAUUUCCUUAUCGACGUUUUGGCGGGGGCGUGUUUGGGCGUCUUUGAAGGUCUCCUUGCGUUUCAAUUCCUGCGACUUGAGGAACUUUUGAGCCUUUUGCUUUAUCAGAAAGUUGGCCGAGGUCGAAGUUAACUGCUUUGGAAUUGGAGCUUUAGGAGAUGCUUCUCUUGCAAUAUAUUGGGUAGACAUUUCGAAAAUUCUCUAGAUGGCAGAUACAUGUUAAUGAUAUCUAUUAACAAAUGCCUGCAAGGUCUAGAAAAUCAAUUGGUUCAAUAUUCACCAAAGACAUUGAAUACUGGAACAUAAACCACUUUGUAUUUCCAAACUCAUACUCUGUUGAUUUUGACAACUGCUUUUGGGCAGUAAAUGUUUCUUCCAAUUUGUAUAUUCAUUAUUAACAUUGAAUUUGAUCAAUUCUCUAUUUUUUUUCAAUUUUUUUUAAAUUAUGAUUGGAUAUGAUACUAAAUCCAG
rnacentral:misc_RNA from 1 species